rnacentral:rRNA from 1 species
GACGUAGGGGACGAGCGUUGUCCGGAUUCAUUGGGCGUAAAGAGCUCGUAGGCGGUCUGUCGCGUCGAUCGUGAAAACUUGGGGCUUAACCCUGAGCUUGCGGUCGAUACGGGCAUGACUGGAGUUCGGCAGGGGAGACUGGAAUUCCUGGUGUAGCGGUGAAAUGCGCAGAUAUCAGGAGGAACACCGGUGGCGAAGGCGGGUCUCUGGGCCGAUACUGACGCUGAGGAGCGAAAGCGUGGAGAGCGAACAGG